AGAUACCUAUGGAAAGCCCACAAUCAGGAUAUGAAUGCAGUAGUGCCGUCCCGCUUGAGUUCCUCAGCGACUGGAUAUCGCCUCUGAUCUGGAGGCAAUAUAUAGAAAUCAUGACUAGUACCCGUUGUUAGCCUUAUCCUCCAUGAAUUUAUCUAAUCCCUUUUAAAGCCGUUCCGGUUGGCGACUGUCACUACAUUACCUUUAAGUAAGUUCCACACUUUUCCUUUUCUCUCUACGUACAGUACCGCUGUCUUUGAGAUGGCCGGGGAGGCGGGUCAGACUAGCGUCACUCAUUCUAAAUAAGCACAGUAACGGGAAGCAUGAACUCAACCCUUCCUCUGACCCCCUGUGCUUAAACUCUCCAAUGUCACUCCCUCGCCGAUCAGAUUUAUAGAGGACAGAGACUUUUUCAGUCAUUGUGGCGGAUGUUUUCACAUUUGGAUACUUCUGGAAUAUGUGGGCACUAGCACUUAAUUGUUUUCUGCUCUGGAACACCGUGCUUCUUCAUUUUUGUCUGAACCUACUUCCUGAGGUGUUUUGCUGAAGUUCUAAGCCACGUCCUUACACAGUCUUCCUCACAGUUGGCAAAAACGUUCUGCAGUUUCCGGAGUUAAUUGACAAAAUGGCCACCCUUUAACACUUCCUGAAAGUUCUCAACACAACUUCUCCCUAUCAAAGCCCCGAGUUACACUAACCUUUAGACUCCACCGUUGAGGACCUAAAACCAGAUCAUUUUUUUCCUCUUUAAAAUACCCUUGAGUUGGCUCCAGUUUUUAUCAGAACAGGGGUGCUAGGAUGGGAAUAUGUAACUCGUUCCUCCUCAUCCUGUGUUUCCUGAUCAAAAUUGCAUCCAAAGCUGAUAUUGAGCCCCCCUGGGGAAGUGAUGGUACUUGCCUCACGCCUCCCUUUAGCAUCACAUCUGUUUUGGCCCUAUAACUCCAAGGAAAUCGAGAGAAGCCAUCACUUGAGAAUGCUGUUGUUUUUUAAAGUCUUUUUUUAGCUUUGUGAGCAACCACGACAUCCUAUCUUGAAGAGGCAGGAAUGAGAUCUUGGUAUUGUUAUACAGAUGCUGCAUUAGAAAUUGGGGUUAAGGUGUUUGAAGAUGGCGUACACAGCUUGUGUUUCUCCGCUGCGUUGAUCUCACCCUCUUCAUAUUUAAAAAAAGAUGGAAGAGAAAAAGCAUUUGUCGAUACCACUACAUUUCUAUGGGACCUGAUGAUUUAGAAUGCAAAAUAUGGAGGGGUGGUUGAUGAAGGGGGAAUGAGCUACCUCUAGGCACAUGACCAAGUCCACAAAUGUAUUAUCUAAAGCAUUCCUUCCCUGCCUCUCUCUUCUCUCUUAAAAUGCUUUUAGGGGGCAUAAAAGGAAAAAUUGACAAGCAGACAAAUAUGUACGCUUCGUAUGUUUCUUUUCUCCAGGCUACGGUGCAAACUUGUUACCAGUGUGAGAUUAAGAACAAAAUAAACCACAAUUCUAUUUUUUAACGCUGA